UAGAGUUUGAUCCUGGCUCAGGAUGAACGCUGGCGGCGUGCCUAAUACAUGCAAGUCGAGCGAAUGAUGAGGAGCUUGCUCCUCUGAUUUAGCGGCGGACGGGUGAGUAACACGUGGGUAAUCUGCCUGUAAGACGGGGAUAACUCCGGGAAACCGGGGCUAAUACCGGAUAAUAAGAGAAGAAGCAUUUCUUCUUUUUGAAAGUCGGUUUCGGCUGACACUUACAGAUGAGCCCGCGGCGCAUUAGCUAGUUGGUGAGGUAACGGCUCACCAAGGCGACGAUGCGUAGCCGACCUGAGAGGGUGAUCGGCCACACUGGGACUGAGACACGGCCCAGACUCCUACGGGAGGCAGCAGUAGGGAAUCUUCGGCAAUGGGCGAAAGCCUGACCGAGCAACGCCGCGUGAGCGAUGAAGGCCUUCGGGUCGUAAAGCUCUGUUGUUAGAGAAGAACAAGUACGAGAGUAACUGCUCGAC
rnacentral:rRNA from 1 species